AAAUGUCACUACUCUCUACUUGUGUACUAUGCCUUGACCCCUCAGAAUUUUCUUCCAAUUGGAGAGCAAAUUCCAGACUCCACAGAACAUCACCCAUGCUGGGUCGUUCUGUUCCUGCUUCUUCCAAGCAUUUCUGGGCUGUUUCUGCAAACUUCUUUAGGCAUUCGGGGUUGAUUUUUCCCUUGAUGUGAGGAUCAAUAAUAUCCUCAAGAAUGCCUUUUCGUUGGCAGUGAAGAGCCCAGUCGGCAAGACUAACUUGCUCCUUUGAAAGGUUGGGAUUUAGAGCAG
rnacentral:misc_RNA from 1 species